rnacentral:rRNA from 1 species
CCUACGGGGCGCAGCAGUGGGGAAUAUUGCACAAUGGGCGCAAGCCUGAUGCAGCCAUGCCGCGUGUGUGAAGAAGGCCUUCGGGUUGUAAAGCACUUUCAGCGGGGAGGAAGGCGUUAAGGUUAAUAACCUUGGCGAUUGACGUUACCCGCAGAAGAAGCGCCGGCUAACUCCGUGCCAGCAGCCGCGGUAAUACGGAGGGUGCAAGCGUUAAUCGGAAUUACUGGGCGUAAAGCGCACGCAGGCGGUCUGUCAAGUCGGAUGUGAAAUCCCCGGGCUCAACCUGGGAACUGCAUUCGAAGCUGGCAGGCUAGAGUCUUGUAGAGGGGGGUAGAAUUCCAGGUGUGGCGGUGAAAUGCGUAGAGAUCUGGAGGAAUACCGGUGGCGAAGGCGGCCCCCUGGACAAAGACUGACGCUCAGGUGCGAAGGCGUGGGGAGCAAACAGGAUUAGAUAGCCGUGUAGUC